GACGAACGCUGGCGGCGUGCUUAACACAUGCAAGUCGAACGGAAAGGCCCUGCUUUUGUGGGGUGCUCGAGUGGCGAACGGGUGAGUAACACGUGAGUAACCUGCCCUUGACUUUGGGAUAACUUCAGGAAACUGGGGCUAAUACCGGAUAGGAGCUCCUGCUGCAUGGUGGGGGUUGGAAAGUUUCGGCGGUUGGGGAUGGACUCGCGGCUUAGCAGCUUGUUGGUGGGGUAGUGGCUUACCAAGGCUUUGACGGGUAGCCGGCCUGAGGGGGUGACCGGCCACAUUGGGACUGAGAGACGGCCCAGACUCCUACGGGAGGCAGCAGUGGGGAAUAUUGCACAAUGGGCGGAAGCCUGAUGCAGCAACGCCGCGUGCGGGAUGACGGCCUUCGGGUUGUAAACCGCUUUCGCCUGUGACGAAGCGUGAGUGACGGUAAUGGGUAAAGAAGCACCGGCUAACUACGUG
rnacentral:rRNA from 1 species